rnacentral:lncRNA from 1 species
AGCACAGAGCAGUGCCUCUUGAUUGCUGGUUCAGGGGGCAUGACCCUGAGCAUUUGAGGAGAGGAGGCAUGUGGUCAGCUGUUUCAUUUUGGGGCUCUUCCUGGCCCUUAGAAGACCGAGAUGUACCCGACUACACAGAAGACGAAGUUGAAGUCACUCUUCUAGAAACCGCCUGGUGCAGAUGCCAUGGUGACAGAUAUGAAAGGAUGGGCCUUUGAACAUGGCUCAGCUCACCAGACAUGACAUCUGGAGCCGGAUCCUCCUGGCGUCACCUAGACUGGAUGCCCUGAAGACAGACUUUGUGCUCCCUGCAAGGUACCUAGAUUGGAUGCCCUGAAGACAGACUUUGUGCUCCUUGCAAGCUCAUUCCAGUCCCCAGAGCGCCUGGAACCCUUGCCACUGAGAUUCGAGUGAAGAAUGAGAUAAGUCCUAAGAAUGUGGCCGAUUGGGCUGGAGUCCCCUCACAAUCAUAUACUGGAUACCCAG